rnacentral:lncRNA from 1 species
UCCAUGUUGUAUACAAAUGAUAUUUUACCAAGGCAGAUUUAUGUUGGAAGUGUUUUCUUUUAUUUACGCUCCCUCCCCCUAACAGAUUAAACAAGUCCAUGUUGUAUACAAAUGAUAUUUUACCAAGGCAUAUUUAUGUUGGAAGUGUUUUUUUUUCUUUACGCUCCCUCUCCCUAACAGAUUAAACAAGUCCAUGUUGUAUACAAAUGAUAUUUUACCAAGGCAUAUUUAUGUUGUGGAAAGUGUAUUGUGUAUAUACGCUCCCUCGUCCCUAACAGAUUUAAAACAAGUCCAAGUGUAUACAAAUUGGAUUUUACCAAGACAUAUUUAUUUGUUGGAAGUGUUUUUCUUUUAUUUAACCUCCCUCUCCCUUACAGAUUAAACAAGCCAUGUUGUAUACAAAUAUAUUUUACCAGGCAUAUUUAUGUGGGAAGUUGUUUUCUUUAUUUUACGCCCCCUCUCGCCUAACAGAUAAACAAGUCCAUUGUAUACAAAAUUAUUUUACCAAGGCAUAUUUAUGUUGCAAGUGUUUUCUUUUAUUUUACGCUCCCCUCUCCUAACCAGAUUAAACAAGUCCAUGUUGUAUUACAAAUGAUAUUUACCAAGGCAGAUUUAUGUUGGAAGUGUUUCUUUUAUUUACGGCUCCCUCUCCCUGAACAGAUUAAACAAGCCAUGUUGGUCAACAUGAUAUUUUACCAAGCGCAGAUUUAUGGGAAGUGUUUAUAUCAUUUAUUUACGCUCCCUCUUCCCUAACAGAUUAAAACAAGUCCAUGUUGUAUACAAAUGAUAUUUUACCAAGGCAGAUUUAUGUUGGAAGUGUUUUCUUUUAUUUACGCUCCCUCCCCCUAACAGAUUAAACAAGUCCAUGUUGUAUACAAAUGAUAUUUUACCAAGGCAUAUUUAUGUUGGAAGUGUUUUUUUUUCUUUACGCUCCCUCUCCCUAACAGAUUAAACAAGUCCAUGUUGUAUACAAAUG